GCGCUCUGAAGCCUAAGGAGACACGUUGUCGUAACUCAGUCCUAGCAGCUCGAACUAUGAGCUUCUUGUGCUUCCUGUACCAGAGCUGCAGAGAAUUGAAACCCAUCAUCGAGUUCGAGGAUGCCCGUAUAGACGCAAGCGUUGUACUGGGUAUUGCUAACAUGCACUGGAGAGGCAGUAUUCGUGUGCCUCCUGCUAUGGACGCCACACUCAUCAGAGCAGUGG
rnacentral:misc_RNA from 1 species